UAUACCUAUUCGAAGGGAUAGGGUCGGUUCGGCCGGAUUUCACACAGGUGUUGCAUGGCUGUCGUCAGCUCGUGUCGUGAGAUGUUGGGUUAAGUCCCGCAACGAGCGCAACCCUCAUCCUUAGUUACCAUCAGGUAAUGCUGGGGACUUUAAGGAAACUGCCAGUGAUAAACUGGAGGAAGGUGGGGAUGAUGUCAAGUCAUCAUGGCCCUUAUGGAGUGGGCUACACACGUGCUACAAUGGUGGCUACAAUGGGCUGCAAAGUCGCGAGGCUAAGCUAAUCCCUUAAAAGCCAUCUCAGUUCGGAUUGUACUCUGCAACUCGAGUGCAUGAAGUUGGAAUCGCUAGUAAUCGUGGAUCAGCACGCCACGGUGAAUACGUUCUCGGGUCUUGUACACACUGCCCGUCACGCCAUGGGAAUUGGUUUCACUCGAAGCU
rnacentral:rRNA from 3 species